UGGGGAAUAUUGGACAAUGGGCGAAAGCCUGAUCCAGCCAUGCCGCGUGAGUGACGAAGGUCUUCGGAUUGUAAAGCUCUUUUAGCAGGGAAGAUAAUGACGGUACCUGCAGAAUAAGCCCCGGCUAACUUCGUGCCAGCAGCCGCGGUAAUACGAAGGGGGCUAGCGUUGUUCGGAAUUACUGGGCGUAAAGCGCACGUAGGCGGAUUGAUAAGUUAGAGGUGAAAUCCCGGGGCUCAACCUCGGAACUGCCUUUGAUACUGUUAGUCUCGAGUCCGAUAGAGGUGAGUGGAAUUCCUAGUGUAGAGGUGAAAUUCGUAGAUAUUAGGAAGAACACCAGUGGCGAAGGCGGCUCACUGGAUCGGUACUGACGCUGAGGUGCGAAAGCGUGGGGAGCAAACAGGAUUAGAUACCCCAGUAGUCCCUGAGCGGGCUGGCAAGGCGCAU
rnacentral:rRNA from 1 species